rnacentral:tRNA from 1 species
UGGCUUAGCGGUAAAGAAUCUGCCUGCAACGCAGGAGACACAGGUUCAAUUCCUGG